rnacentral:lncRNA from 1 species
AAUUUCAAUCUUUCAUUAACAUAUAUAUAUAUAUUGCUUUACAAAAAAAAUAAAUACUUGAAAUGGUUGAACAUUAUGAUCCUUAAGAAAAUGUUAAAUCAACAGUACUAGUAAGAAAAAUAACUAGCAUAAGUUUCCCCCAACUACUCCUCUAAUGAAAGAUUGUGUAUGUGUGUGUGUGUGCAGGUGCUAAAAUCUCUCCUCUGUGUACGUUUUGUCCUCCACCACUAGUAACUCUAUUAAUUUACUGACUUAAACGUUAGUCUCUGCAAAUGGACACCUCCACUAUUGAUAACUUCGAUCAAGCAACUGAAGCCCUCCCUACCUUCCUCUUUGACUCAGUUAAUCCCUAGAAACAAG